AUUCCACAUUGACAGCUGUCCCGCCCGACCCUUCGCUAAGCCCCGCCCUCCCUAGUUACUGUUGCUACGCCUGACAAGCUUUCGUGCCGGUCACGUCUAUUACAGUAUGUAUGCACCGGUUUUCAUUGGUCAAUGCAACAUCAAUGUAGCACUAUUGCAAAUGGGCGCGAACAACAGUAUUGAUUAGAACAAAUCUGUCGAUUUUGCCAAGAGCGAGGCACGCCGUGCGCCUCUGACGCUCAUUCAUGAGUGGUGAAGAUAGUUGUGGAAACUUUCCCGGCUGGUCAACAGUACAGAAGUUAGCUAGCCAUGGCACAAAAGCGCAUUUUGGAUUUCUUUAUAGAUUAACCACAAGCUAAAAAGUGUAAAAGACCGGAUGCAGAAAACUCAGCUGUAACUGACUGAAGUAACAGAUGAAAGGGAGCCAAUCUCGUAAACCAAGCUAGCAGCAGCAGGCUAGCCGCAGAGGGAACAUCACCGUCAACUCAGUGCUGAUCAGCCUCGGGGUCACACUUUUCCUGCUAGACGUUUUGGAGGAUUUUUGACUGUGUUAUGACUGCAACACAAGAUUCACUGCCAAGGUCCAGGUCUGGCAAUAUAAUAUGUGUAAAAAUACAGCUGUUGUAAUGCCUCUUUAGAUUUGGCCAGCAGCAUUAGGUACUCAGCAGUUUUUGAGAGUAUCUUACAGAUGGAGACCAGGGACAACUGAAAGGUGAAGAAAGCCACGGGGACAAGAUGGAUGAGGGUGCCCUGCGCAGUUGACGAGAGAACAGUGAGGAAAGCAGCAGUAUUUUUACAGCAGUUUGUUUUGAAGCAAGAAGCAAGAAGCUAUGACAACAUGUCUGGCGAUGAGGAUUCCGUCUCCUGUGGCUCGGCAUAACUGGUUUCCGUCCCAUGACGCUGGCUCUGAACGAAGAUUUGUUGUGGAUUAGCUAGACAGUUUGCCCUGUGGGAAAGGCUUAUAUGUUGAAUAUGAGAAGAAGAAGAAGAAGAAGAAGAAGAAGAAGAAGAAGAAGAAGAAGAAGAAGAAGAAGAAGAAGAAGAAGAAGAAGAUAACAUUAACCACUAACUCUACAAUGUUUGGCAAACCCUCUCUACCAUCUGAACUACUGAAUCACACAUUUCACUCAUAUUUUCAUAGUUUGGCAAAAUUCUAGUCCCAAAGUCAACAAAAAUAUUGUCAAGUUUUUAUUGCCUUCAACAUUUUCAAAAAUCAUAUCAGAAAACAAAAAUAUAGUGACACAAUAAACAUCUAUAUAUAUUAAAUACAUUCUAAAAUAUAGCUGGAGGCUCUAAAGAGCUGAUACAGGAUGCAUAGAUGAUAGACCUUGCUUUCUAAAAUUUCUCUAUAAAUUGUAAAUUGCACACAUCACAAAACCAUUGAUUUAGACAUUACACUUGAACUAUUUCAGAUGUUAUAUCUUCCUGGGAAAUAACUGACAAAAAAUCUGCAGGAUAAAUUGUAUACAGGUUCAGGUUGUACUGCACACCAACAUCCGUGCCAAUAAAGUCUGGGCAGCUUGUGCCCUUUAAUGGGUUUCAGGAGUAAUCUAUUCAGUGAGUCCUGUGAGAUCAAAAUACAAAAGAUUUCCUCCUUAAAAGGGUUGUGCUGGUCAACUAGAAGCUACUGAUCACAUUCGACAAAAGCAGUGUUGGGUAGGUUAGUUAAAGGAACACUCCAGCAUUUUGUGAAAUACAGUUGUUUGCCAUUUUGUCCAGAGGGAAGACAUAUAUUCCCGCUUUGUAAAAAGUAAAACAUGUUUUCCAACAACUCCAAUGCUGUCUGAAGGAGCUGAAGUUUGCUGCCACAUUGGAGCUGGGUUUGACCAACAACCACUGGGCAAAGAGCUGCACAGAGCACUCACUUCACAAAUGAAAUUCACUACAUCUUCUCAUCUGACUCUGGGAAAACAGAUGGAAAAAAACUGGCAUUAUUUUAGGAUUUGUAUUCGAACACAUUUGCUUCUGUAUAUUUUAUGAGAUGUCACUGUGGUAAUGGCCUAAUGUAAUAACUAAAUCCUUUACAUGUUCUAAUCAUACCACCCAACUCUGAACAUGACAACGUGUAUAAAGGGAUGUAGAGUUCAGUAUGGUUUAAGGCCCCUAGGCAGAACACCAGAGAAGCACUUUCUGAGUUCAUACCUGGUACAUUAAAAAUGAUGUAUAGUCCAUCAAAUGCUUUAAAUGUGCUCCCCCUUUGGUUUAUUGCUUGUCCCUGAUAUGGAUAUAUAAAAUGUCUACUGAUAUCAUUUGUUCCUAAACAUGUCUGAUCUCUGUAUUUCUAUGUGUUACACAAAACCUAUUUCAGUGUUUGCAAGUCCUCUUUGGAUAUACAUUGCUCAGCAUUGCAGAGGUGCCUGAGAUAAUAGUCUAUUUGCUCCAGUCCACUUAAUUUACUUCAUAUUGUGCUGGAAGCUGUUAAUGGUCCAUUAAGAAAAAUGAAAACACCAUUGGCACCAGCCAUUGUCUUUGAAGACAGUGGUGCAUUAUCAUUGCUUAGAGUGACAUCAAUGACCACACUGUUCUUAUAGAACAUGUCAAAGUAUUGAAAUCAUUUAAAAGCUGUAAACAAAUGCAGUGGGAUUGUUGACAGAGGUUACGGAAGUAAGAGCCUGACAAACAUAGUUGACUUAGGUCUAGUCACCUAUACCAUAUUAAGUUAAUUUUGUAUUUAGAGUAUCCCUGUUUGUUUUUUUAGUAAACCCAAGAAUGCAGCCACACUGAUCCAUCGUUUGUUUGUUUUUCAUUAAUAUUUAGUUUUUUUGUGAAUGUUCAGGAGUGAGGUGUCCUUCUCUACCAGAUUUGUAUCAGUUUUGAUAGACAGAGAAAUCGUCAAAGGUUUUUUCAGCUUUUGGAGAUAUAUAGUCUAUUUAGUCAGUGAAAAUCAGCAGCAGAAGGACUACAUGUUCAUUUAGUCCUUUAGGCAGCAUCACAACAAGUUAGAACAGCAACUUUCUUUGUUCAGUGACUUAUCAGUGUGGCUGCCUUCAAAGAUAUUUGUUUGUCAUUAUACCUAUAUUGAACAAAGUGUGGCUGAAAGAAUUGGGACAGCCGCUGUCUUAUUCUGUAUUUGUGAAAUUAUAUGUGCUCACUCAUGUAUGUGUUGUUUGAUGUUGGCAUUGUCAUUUGAAAGACAAAACAUUUAACAUGUACAAUAAAAACCAAACAUAUCUUC